GCCAGGUGUGGUGGUGCGCACCUGUAGUCCUAGCUACUCAGGAGGCUGAGGUGGGAGGGUCACUUGAGCCCAGGAGUUGUAGGCUGCAGUGGGCUAUGAUUUUGCCACUGCACUCCAACCUGGGUGACACAGCAAGACCCUGUCUCAA
ensembl:misc_RNA Metazoa_SRP Metazoan signal recognition particle RNA